GCCAGCAUGGUGCAGUGGUUGGAGUUUUGGAUUACAACUCUAGAGACCAGGGUUCGAUUCCUUGCUUGGCC